GGAUCUUUUUGUAUGUGGACUUUGAUGUAAAAUAAGAAACUGAUUGCAUUUUGUUUUACAAACAUAUUGAAAGAAAAUGGGUCUUAUGUUGGUUGAGGUCUGUGUCUUAAGAACAUUCUGGGCGUAGAAGAACCGAGAACCCUGCUGCGGUCAUCCGAUGGUUCAGAUGGCGGUAUGGUCUGGUUUUAUCCAGGUCUUCUGCAUCCUUCACAGUGUUACCAGCGAGAGAGAGUAGUUAACUGUGCUUCUGAACAAAUGUACCUGUACAACUCCAUUGCAAUCUAGUUUUGCAUCGUAUUCGCAAACCCACGAAUGGGGUUACACCGAUACAGUCGAUACUUUGAAACUCUCAGCAUGAUCUUCUCUAGUCAGACAAAGGAUGUAGUUCCCCCUUUGCCAAAAGCUGAAGAUCAAAAAUCCGUCUGAGUCCUUUGGAUUGAAGCCUGUUAUCUUAUUGUGGAGCGGUCAGGCACUAACCAAGUGGUUCUUAGUGUUUGUGUUUUUAGUGCGCUGCAGAAGGCCUCCGACAACAAGCCGUUAGGAACCUGUUGAGGGUUAGCGGAAAGGCUAGCAGCUAAGAUCCUGUGACCUGUAGAGAGGCUAUGGCAUAGCCAUUAGCAGCAAAGAUGUAGAUUAGCUGUUAGCAGCGAAGACGUAGCUUUUAGAAGCUAAGAUUUAGCCGUUACCAGCUAAAGAUUAGCUGUUAGAAGCUAAGACAUAGCCAUUAGCAGCGAAGACGUAGCUUUUAGCAGCCAAGACGUAGCUGUUACCAGCUAAAGAUUAGCUGUUAGAAGCUAAGACAUAGCCAUUAGCCGCUAAGACGUAGCCUUUAGCAGCUAAGACGUAGCCGUUACCGCUAAGACGUAGGCGUUAGCAGCUGAGACGUAGCCAGACCUCAUAGGAACUGUUUGAGCUGUGUGAGCAGCAGUAGCUAACCCCUUACUCUUUCAUCCUUAGUAUUGCCUUAGAAGCGACAGAAAAACACAUAGCGACGCGUGUCGCGCUUUUAAUGCGCCGUGUGGGUGUAAAUGCAAUGACUGAAGUAACAUUGAAUGCUGUGUGUUGAUUUGUAUGCGAGUGUGAGUGUAUGUGAGUGCAUGUGUUGAUGUGUGUUGAUGUGAGGGUAUCCAUCUGUGGAUGUUGUGUGUGUGUGAGCAUGUUUGUUGUUAUACCUGUGUGUGCCUGUGAGUAAGUGAGUGAGUGUGUGUGUGUUCGUCAGUGUGCGUGUGUGCGUGUGCGUGUGUGCGUGCGUGCGUGCGUGCGUGCGUGCGUGCGUGCGUGCGUCGUGCGUGCGUGCGUGCGUGUAGCCCUGUAAAUGAAUACAACCUUCUCUGUAUUAUUCGUGUGGUUCUCCCAGACGCCAGUGAUCCAUCCUGGUGGAGUUCUUGUGUUCCUGACGCCCUUCAGUGUCCUCUGAACACAGAACACUGUACAUAGAACCCCCCCCCCCCCAGAAAUACACUCGAUGUCACGCAUGUAUGUGUGUGGGUGUGAGUGUGUGUGUGUGUGUGUACGCACACAUUUACACAAACACACACACACACCAACACGCAGUUUGUGUAUUGGGUUGUGCUCCACUAACUGGACUUGUGAGGAGAAAGCGUGACGCUCCAUUCUUUAUUUCAUUCCUUUUCAUUCUGAAUUGUUAUUUUUGACCUCUUUCAAUGUUUCAACCGUUCUAUGUAUAGAGAGAUUUUCUAUUUUUUACUGAUAUUUCCUCUCGUCUGAAUUAAAAUGGACAUGUUUGUUCCAGUGGGA